GCCAUUUCUCUCCACUGACUGCAGCCUCAGUGCUCACAGCUCACGUUUCCCUGGAAUCCAGAGGCCUCCUCAGCUAAGGACUCCAUAAUGCUGGAUAUUUUCAUUCUGAUGUUCUUUGCCAUCAUAGGCCUGGUCAUUCUCUCCUACAUAAUCUAUCUGCUCUAGUGGCCUUCAGCUGCGAGGGAGCCCACAGGAGAACAGCUCAGGGGGGAAGGAUGAAGCUGACUGGCGGAGCAUCCUGCUUGCUGACGCACCGGUGGAUUUUUGCUUCUGGUCAUUAUUUCGGUUCCUGGUCUCCAGUCCAACAAGAGGCCUCUUAUCAACAGCAGCUGUCCUGCCGCCCAACAGACCUCUUCCAGAGCCUUCCGGAUAUGGUUAACCCCUAUCAAGCAAGGGGCUUUUUGAGCUCAAAGGCUGAGGCACUUGGCUGGAACAUCAGGAAUUUAUGGGCUUGGCUGGCAGGUGUGCGUGCGUUUGAAUUAUAAAUUAAGAAAGAACACAGAAAGCUGAAAUGUAGACACAUUAAAAUGAUCAUGGAGAACUUCUCAAAAUUCAUUUUGAUAGUAUAGCCUUUCCUUAGGUCUUUCCUUUCCCCUAUGCAAUGGUGUUCCUUUGUAAGUCCAAGAGCACGUUGUCUCUCUUUACCUAGUCACUUUAUCACUGUCUUCAUAGAUUGCAUAAUCUGGGGCUGUGUGGUGUCCCUUGUCUUCGUCUCUAGCCAGAAGGAACUUGUCAUUUGAGUUUUUAAGAUUUAUUUUCCCCACUCUCUACCACUUGUGUUCCAGCUUCUCAUUUAAAAAGAGAAAAGGUUAUAUAGUUCUCAUUCUUUCUGCUUGGCUAAGUCAUAAAUUAUUGAAACAAGAUGGCUAUACUUCUCUUGUUAUUUGGGAAAAAUCUCUUAUUCCAAAAUAAAUGUUCUUUGUUUUUUCA